rnacentral:ribozyme from 1 species
AAAACUACCGAACACAUUUACUGCGUAGCUUGCCACUUUUAAGGCUAAUAUAGACUCUCCUCCCUAACUACUACUCAUUACGUCCACGACUUACCGAAUGGCAACAUGUGAUAUUUUUGCGUGGCUAAAAUGAGAGGG